rnacentral:rRNA from 1 species
UACGAAGGGGGCUAGCGUUGCUCGGAAUCACUGGGCGUAAAGGGUGCGUAGGCGGGUCUUUAAGUCAGGGGUGAAAUCCUGGAGCUCAACUCUAGAACUGCCUUUGAUACUGAGGAUCUUGAGUUCGGGAGAGGUGAGUGGAACUGCGAGUGUAGAGGUGAAAAUUCGUAGAUAUUCGCAAGAACACCAGUGGCGAAGGCGGCUCACUGGCCCGAUACUGACGCUGAGGCACGAAAGCGUGGGGAGCAAACAGG